CCCCGCCGGCCGCACCUCAUCCCUACCCCACCGCCGCCCCAACCACACCGCCUCCUCCUCGACCCUGUGCGGCGCCGGCGGCGGUCCCAAGCACGGCUGGCCGCGGCUCUCACCGGCCCGCCCCUGCGGUGUUGGCCGGGCUUCUCUGGCCGGCCCAGCCCCGGCCCGGCCUCCCGUCACCUCCACCGCCGGCCCCUGCCUCCAACUCCACCACCGCGACGCCUCUCUGUCCGGAUUUGUGGUGUUCCAUCUUCGUGGAGUGAUCGUCGACGUUGGAGGUGUUGGUCCACGAUCGUCCCUCUCCUUUGAUCGACUACAUCGGAGGGUUUGCUAAUCAUGGGCAAGUCCAGCGGCGCCAGUUUCCUCAGUAAAUUCGAAGGACUUACUCGGAGUGGACGAGCCCACAAGGUUCCCGCCCGACUACGCGAGGAUGACACCUCACAGGGAGGUGGAGGGGUCGGGGG